rnacentral:rRNA from 1 species
UACAGAGGGUGCAAGCGUUGUUCGGAAUUAUUGGGCGUAAAGGGCGUGCAGGCGGUUUGUUAAGUGCAGGGUGAAAGCUCCCGGCUCAACUGGGAGAGGUCCUUGCAUACUGGCGAACUCGAGGGAGGCAGAGGAAAGUGGAAUUCCCGGUGUAGUGGUGAUAUGCGUAGAUAUCGGGAGGAACACCUGUGGCGAAGGCGGCUUUCUGGGCCUUACCUGACGCUGAGACGCGAAAGCGUGGGGAGCGAACAGG